rnacentral:rRNA from 1 species
UACGUAGGGGGCUAGCGUUGUCCGGAUUUAUUGGGCGUAAAGGGCGCGUAGGCGGCCAGACCAAGUCGAGUGUGAAAUUGCAGGGCUUAACUUUGCAGGGUCGCUCGAUACUGGUCGGCUAGAGUGUGGAAGAGGGUGCUGGAAUUCCUGGUGUAGCGGUGAAAUGCGCAGAUAUCAGGAAGAACACCAAUGGCGAAAGCAGCUUUCUGGGACGGUACUGACGCUGAGACGCGAAAGCGUGGGGAGCGAACAGG